CGAAGGGUGCAAGCGUUACUCGGAAUUACGUGGGCGUAAAGCGUGCGUAGGUGGUGAGUUAAGUCUGUCGCGAAAGCCCCGGGCUCAACCUGGGAAUGGCGAUGGAUACUGGCUCGCUAGAGUGCGGUAGAGGAGAGUGGAAUUCCCGGUGUAGCAGUGAAAUGCGUAGAGAUCGGGAGGAACAUCAGUUGCGAAGGCGGCUCUCUGGACCAGCACUGACACUGAGGCACGAAAGCGUGGGGAGCAAACAGGAUUAGAUACCCUGGUAGUCCACGCCCUAAACGAUGCGAACUGGACGUUGGGAGCAAUUAGGCUCUCAGUGUCGAAGCUAACGCGUUAAGUUCGCCGCCUGGGGAGUACGGUCGCAAGACUG
rnacentral:rRNA from 1 species